UACGUAGGGGGCUAGCGUUGUCCGGAUUUAUUGGGCGUAAAGAGCUUGUAGGCGGUUUGUCGCGUCUGCUGUGAAAUUUCGGGGCUCAACCCCGAACUUGCAGUGGGUACGGGCAGGCUAGAGUGUGGUAGGGGAGACUGGAAUUCCUGGUGUAGCGGUGAAAUGCGCAGAUAUCAGGAGGAACACCAAUUGCGAAGGCAGCUCGCUGGGACGUUACUGACGCUGAGACGCGAAAGCGUGGGGAGCAAACAGG
rnacentral:rRNA from 1 species